AGAGUUUGAUCCUGGCUCAGGAUGAACGCUGGCGGCGUGCUUAACACAUGCAAGUCGAGCGAGAAAAAUUUCUUCGGAAGUUUUUCUAGCGGCGGACGGGUGAGUAACACGUGGGCAACCUGCCUUAUAGAGGGGAAUAGCCUUCCGAAAGGAAGAUUAAUACCGCAUAACAUUAUUGAAAGGCAUCUUUUAAUAAUCAAAGGAGUAGUCCGCUAUAAGAUGGGCCCGCGGCGCAUUAGCUAGUUGGUGAGGUAACGGCUCACUAAGGUGACGAUGCGUAGCCGACCUGAGAGGGUGAUCGGCCACAUUGGAACUGAGACACGGUCCAGACUCCUACGGGAGGCAGCAGUGGGGAAUAUUGCACAAUGGGGGAAACCCUGAUGCAGCAACGCCGCGUGAGUGAUGAAGGUCUUCGGAUUGUAAAGCUCUGUCUUUAGGGACGAUAAUGACGGUACCUAAGGAGGAAGCCACGGCUAACUACGUGCCAGCAGCCGCGGUAAUACGUAGGUGGCAAGCGUUAUCCGGAUUUACUGGGCGUAAAGGGAGCGUAGGCGGAUACUUAAGUGGGAUGUGAAAUACCCGAGCUUAACUUGGGUGCUGCAUUCCAAACUGGGUAUCUAGAGUGCAGGAGAGGAGAAUGGAAUUCCUAGUGUAGCGGUGAAAUGCGUAGAGAUUAGGAAGAACACCAGUGGCGAAGGCGAUUCUCUGGACUGUAACUGACGCUGAGGCUCGAAAGCGUGGGGAGCAAACAGGAUUAGACACCCUGGUAGUCCACGCUGUAAACGAUGACUACUAGGUGCUGGGGAGCACAGCUCUUCGGUGCCGCCGCAAACGCAUUAAGUAGUCCACCUGGGGAGUACGUUCGCAAGAAUGAAACUCAAAGGAAUUGACGGGGACCCGCACAAGCGGUGGAGCAUGUGGUUUAAUUCGAAGCAACGCGAAGAACCUUACCAAGUCUCGACAUCGAUCUGACCGGUCUGUAAUGAGACCUUUCCUUCGGGACAGAGAAGACAGGUGGUGCAUGGUUGUCGUCAGCUCGUGUCGUGAGAUGUUGGGUUAAGUCCCGCAACGAGCGCAACCCUUAUCAUUAGUAGCCAGCGGUUUGGCCGGGCACUCUGAUGAGACUGCCAGGGAUAACCUGGAGGAAGGUGGGGAUGACGUCAAAUCAUCAUGCCCCUUAUGACUUGGGCUACACACGUGCUACAAUGGCGUAAACAAAGGGAGGCAGAGCCGUGAGGCCGAGCAAAUCUCAAAAAUAACGUCUCAGUUCGGAUUGUAGUCUGCAACUCGACUACAUGAAGCUGGAAUCGCUAGUAAUCGCGAAUCAGCAUGUCGCGGUGAAUACGUUCCCGGGUCUUGCACACACCGCCCGUCA
rnacentral:rRNA from 1 species